UGUAUUUAUGUAACAGUGAAAAUACGGUCUAUAUGAGGACAGCGCUGUGUUUAGACUAGAGUCACACAUAUACCUGUGAAGCACCAGAACUCAGGUGUAGGAGAGGCCCUCCAGUGUUAGCGGUGUCUCCCAGACACUCCUAAUGAAGACGUGUGUGGAGAUGUGCUGACAGGGCCAUGGCACCUGGCCCCUCUCCGUGAGCGAAAUACGCCGGGGUUACACUAACUCUAGUCUUACAUUGCCACACUUCCAAGUCUCAGUUAUCACUUGGUUAUUGGAAUGAACUAUUUCAGAACAAAGGUGAGAAAGCCACAAAUCAUGGUUCCACUCACUCUAAUUCCUCAUCUUCCCCAAUAUCUCAUCAUCUACUACAUUAAGAUCAGUGAAAUCUUGUUUUUAUAUUGUUUGUGUAUGUUUGUUGAUGUUGUGAUUGCAUCCGUUGUGUGUCCCACGGUCCACCUCUCUCUCCUUGUGUCAUAUUUCCGAGGAUGCAUCAGCAGCAAGGAGUGUGAACAUCUCCAGGGCAUCGAGGGAGGACUCCUCCACACCUACUGCUGCAAAUAUGAUCUCUGUAAUCACUAACGGGACAGUGCAUUUAAAAUGUCUUCUCUAGUCUUCCAUAAGUUAUAUCACAUGCAGCCUAAAAAUAAAAAUAAAAAUAUCUGCA